UACGUAGGCAGCAAGCGUUGUUCGGAUUCAUUGGGCGUAAAGGGCGCGUAGGCGGCGGGGUAAGUCGGGUGUGAAAUCUCAGAGCUCAACUCUGAAACUGCACUCGAUACUGCUUUGCUAGAGGACUGGAGAGGAGAUUGGAAUUCACGGUGUAGCAGUGAAAUGCGUAGAGAUCGUGAGGAAGACCAGUGGCGAAGGCGGAUCUCUGGACAGUUCCUGACGCUGAGGCGCGAAGGCCAGGGGAGCAAACGGG
rnacentral:rRNA from 1 species